rnacentral:tRNA from 1 species
GGUAGGGUGGCUGAAUUAAGCGGUGGAUUGUAGUCCCAUAGAUAGAGGUUUAAGUCCUCUUCCUACCA